UGCACCGGAUCCCAUCAGAACUCCGCAGUUAAGCGUGCUUAGGCGAGAGUAGUACUAGGAUGGGUGACCUCCUGGGAAGUCCUCGUGUUGCACCCC
rnacentral:rRNA from 1 species